AGUACCGUGAGGGAAAGGCGAAAAGAACCCCGGGAGGGGAGUGAAAUAGAUCCUGAAACCGUGUGCUUACAAAAAGUAGGAGCCUCGAAAGGGGUGACUGCGUACCUUUUGUAUAAUGGGUCAGCGACUUACAUUCAGUGGCAAGGUUAACCGAAUAGGGAAGCCGUAGAGAAAUCGAGUCCGAAUAGGGCGAUCAGUCGCUGGGUGUAGACCCGAAACCAAGUGAGCUAUCCAUGGCCAGGAUGAAGGUGCGGUAACACGCACUGGAGGUCCGAACCGACUAGUGUUGCAAAACUAGCGGAUGAGCUGUGGAUAGGGGUGAAAGGCUAAACAAACUUGGAAAUAGCUGGUUCUCUCCGAAAACUAUUUAGGUAGUGCCUCAAGUAUUACCGUCGGGGGUAGAGCACUGUUUUGGCUAGGGGGUCAUGGCGACUUACCAAACCAAGGCAAACUCCGAAUACCGACGAGUACAGCUUGGGAGACAGAGCACCGGGUGCUAACGUCCGGACUCAAGAGGGAAACAACCCAGACCGCCAGCUAAGGUCCCUAAAAUUGGCUAAGUGGGAAACGAAGUGGGAAGGCUAAAACAGUCAGGAUGUUGGCUUAGAAGCAGCCAUCAUUUAAAGAAAGCGUAAUAGCUCACUGAUCGAGUCGUCCUGCGCGGAAGAUGUAACGGGGCUAAGCCAAUAACCGAAGCUGCGGAUAUCCGUAAGGAUAUGGUAGGAGAGCGUUCCGUAAGUCUGUGAAGGUGUGUCGAGAGGCAUGCUGGAGAUAUCGGAAGUGCGAAUGCUGACAUGAGUAGCGAUAAAGGGUGUGAAAAGCACCCUCGCCGAAAGCCCGAGGUUUCCUGCGCAACGUUCAUCGGCGCAGGGUGAGUCGGCCCCUAAGGUAAGGGCGAAAGCCGUAGCUGAUGGGAAACUGGUUAAUAUUCCAGUACCGUUGUUCAAUGCGAUGUGGGGACGGAGAAGGUUAUGCAAGCCGGGUGUUGGACGUCCCGGUUCAAGCGUGUAGUCGUGCUGCCUAGGCAAAUCCGGGCGGCUUAGAUGAGGCGUGAUAACGAGUCUUUUAGGAGAUGAAGUUGCAGAUACCAAGCUUCCAGGAAAAGCCACUAAGCUUCAGUUGAACAAGACCGUACCGCAAACCGACACAGGUGGGCAGGAUGAAAAUUCUAAGGCGCUUGAGAGAACUCAGGAGAAGGAACUCGGCAAAUUAACACCGUAACUUCGGAAGAAGGUGUGCCUCGAUAAGGUGUAGUCCCUUGCGGACGAAGCCAUAAGAGGUUGCAGAGAAUCGGUGGCUGCGACUGUUUAACAAAAACACAGCACUCUGCUAAGACGAUGAGUCGACGUAUAGGGUGUGACGCCUGCCCGGUGCCGGAAGGUUAAAUGAUGGGGUGCAAGCUCUUGAUUGAAGCCCCGGUAAACGGCGGCCGUAACUAUAACGGUCCUAAGGUAGCGAAAUUCCUUGUCGGGUAAGUUCCGACCCGCACGAAUGGCGUAACGAUGGCCACACUGUCUCCUCCUGAGACUCAGCGAAGUUGAAAUGUUUGUGAUGAUGCAAUCUCCCCGCGGAAAGACGGAAAGACCCCAUGAACCUUUACUGUAGCUUUGUAUUGGACUUUGAACAGAUCUGUGUAGGAUAGGUGGGAGGCUUUGAAGCAGCAGCGCUAGCUGUUGUGGAGCCAACGUUGAAAUACCACCCUGGUGUGUUUGAGGUUCUAACCUAGGUCCAUUAUCUGGAUCGGGGACAGUGCAUGGUAGGCAGUUUGACUGGGGCGGUCUCCUCCCAAAGUGUAACGGAGGAGUUCGAAGGUACGCUAGUUACGGUCGGACAUCGUGACGAUAGUGCAAUGGCAUAAGCGUGCUUAACUGCGAGACUGACAAGUCGAGCAGAUGCGAAAGCAGGACAUAGUGAUCCGGUGGUUCUGUAUGGAAGGGCCAUCGCUCAACGGAUAAAAGGUACUCUGGGGAUAACAGGCUGAUUCCUCCCAAGAGUUCAUAUCGACGGGGGAGUUUGGCACCUCGAUGUCGGCUCAUCACAUCCUGGGGCUGUAGCCGGUCCCAAGGGUAUGGCUGUUCGCCAUUUAAAGUGGUACGUGAGCUGGGUUCAAAACGUCGUGAGACAGUUUGGUCCCUAUCUGCCGUGGGCGUUGGAUAUUUGACGGGGGCUGCUCCUAGUACGAGAGGACCGGAGUGGACGUACCGCUGGUGUACCUGUUGUCUCGCCAGAGGCAUCGCAGGGUAGCUAAGUACGGAAGAGAUAACCGCUGAAAGCAUCUAAGCGGGAAACUUGCCUGAAGAUGAGAUAUCCCGGAGGUUUAACCUCCUUGAAGGGUCGUUCGAGACCAGGACGUUGAUAGGUCGGGUGUGGAAGCGUAGUAAUACGUUAAGCUAACCGAUACUAAUUGCCCGUAAGGCUUGACU
rnacentral:rRNA from 1 species